GUCUAACCUGCCCACUGAUAAUUUUUGAAGGGCCGCGGUAUAUUGACUGUGCAAAGGUAGCAUAAUCAUUAGUCUUUUAAUUGAAGGCUUGUAUGAAUGGUUGGAUGAGGUAUUAACUGUCUCAAUUUAAUAAAUAAUAGAAUUUUAUUUUUAAGUUAAAAAGCUUAAAUGAUUUUAAAAGACGAGAAGACCCUAUAGAUCUUUAUAUUUAAUUUUUUAAUAAUUUUUUAGUUAAAAUUUAUUUUUAGGAAUAAAAAUAUUGAGUUGGGGUGAUUAAAAAAUUUAGUAAACUUUUUUUUUAUUUAAACAGUGAUUUUUGAAUAAUUGAUCCAUUUUUUGUGAUUAAAAGAUUAAGUUACCUUAGGGAUAACAGCGUAAUUUUUUUGGAGAGUUCUUAUCGAUAAAAAAGAUUGCGACCUCGAUGUUGAAUUAAAGGUUAAUUUUAGGUGUAGAAGUUUAAAAUUUUGGUC
rnacentral:rRNA from 1 species